rnacentral:lncRNA from 1 species
GUGUUCAGAAUUGAUGCGGCGGCGCCGAGCCCAAAGGUGGCUCCGACGAGGCUCGUGAAGAAGGAAACUGCUGCUUAGCUGCUGCCCAUUUUCCAAACAUAGGAGAAGGCUCACACACGGAGAGGUUCGAGUGGUGACGGGUAUGAGGAUGUAGGGAGAGAAGUGGUGGUGAGGGGUAGAUUAGAAGAAUGGGUAUGACGUGAGCUUUAGAGAAAGAGAGAGGGAGAGAUAGGUAGAAAUAUGGGUGUUAGAAGGUGGGCAUGACGGAUGAUGCGUGGGAACCAAGGUGCAUGGAGAAUAGCAUAACCAUGCAUGGCCAUGCAUGGCCAUGCGAAGGUGGAGAGAACGAACGUGGAGGGCACCUAAAAGAGGAUAGAUGGGUGGUGUGGUGUAGAGAGAGAGUGUAAUGGACGAAAGAUGAAAUGGGUUAAAGGGUGUGAAGAAGGUUUAGAGUGAGAAAAUGG